GAAUAGAAAAGAAUAGACUAGAUGAGUACAUUGCCCUAGGAGGUAUAAGUAUUGUUGUAUUAAACUUGUUUUUAACUCUAGGUCACAGUCAAAAAAGCUUGAAAACACUGUUUAAUCCUGGGUUCUCAAACAAAAGGGUGCAUAAGAAUUAUCUGGACUUCAAGAUCAAAAGAUUCUGAUUCAGUAAAUCUCAAACAGGAAUCAAGAACCUGCAUUUUUAAAAAGCAAAAUACAGGUGAUUCUGAUGCAGACAGUCUUGAGGCUGUACUCUGAAAAAAUAUGCCUUUUAUAAUGCAGAAACAAAGCACUUUCACUCUACAUGCAUGUCUUUUCCAGAAGGUUCCCAAGACAUCAGGUGACAUCCUUUUGCCACAGGAAGUCAUCUCAGUACAGAAGUGCAGGGCUAGGUGGCACGCGCCUGCAGAUUGCAGCCAUGCCCUUGUAUUGGUCUGCAGAUUAUUCCUGUACCCACCUUCAUUCCUACAUUUUAGGUUACUGGGCUAGCAACAUGUCCGGGAACGGUGACAACAAUGGCUAAGGUCUGGAUCUUUUACAUAGCUAAGUGGCAUCAGAAGUGAGCUAGUGUCAACAUAUGUCCUCAAGUGCUCUUUGAUCUUAAUUAUUCUUAACACAACUGCUAAUAUUUUUAUUAACUACUACUAAAUUACUAGGCUUUAGGCAUUGUGCUUGGCGUUAGAGGGAAUACAAAGAUGACUGCCCCAGAAGUCUGCACAGACAGACACCAUCUCUACUCUCCAUCCCAACACACUAAAGGCAAUAAAGUGGCUCAGCAAAUAUCUUGUGUCUUUGUUUUUGGCAGAGGCGCCUGAUGGAUUUCAGAUACCAGGGAGAAGGCUUGUUACAGUCUGAGAUGAUGGGAUCGUAUCCUCCAAUUUCAUACCUGUCUUCCUUCUUCCAUACACCUGAGGGAAACAGUGUUCACGUCUUAAAGGGAAUAUAGCCUCUACUGGUCCUAUUAUCAAGCUAUCACAAAAUUAUACGUCAUCCUAGAAACUGAGGUCUCCAACAAGUAUUAAGAAAUACGUACUGAAAGGAUCGUUUGGGUACAUGCUGCAGCAUUCACAAUUACUACAUUUAGGAAGACACGUUUCACGGAUAUUCCUCCUGGUGAGGUAGUAAGUGAAAGCAGUCUGGAUUGUAGAGAGGCUCGAAGCCCUCCCUUAUUCACACAUCACUUUAGCUUAGCCCACUGGGUAUGUUUAAUCAGUUCAAAAACAACUCAUUUAACUUGAGCAUCUCAAAAGAUGUUUGUCAAAGGGUUUAACAUAGUUAUUGCUGGGUAGUGGGCCUGUGGGUUGUUUUUAUUUUUUCCUUUGUAACUUUGUGUUCUAACUUUCUCUACAGUAAAUAUGGAUUACUUUUACAAUUUGGAAAAAUACGUUCUGUUUAUUUAUCUUUUCAGAGAGAAUAAAAAGCUUCUCAGAUCAAGUAGACUGACUCCUUCAUUACGCCUCAGGAGGUUCUAGAUGAAAGCCUUAGGCUUGGUUCAGAAAUGGGCAAAUGACUAGAAUCUGGCCAAGAAGACAUAAGAGGAAACUCUGCUGGGAGGCUUCCAAGAGAAGUUUUUUAACAAGGUGGAGCAAACGUUGCCAGCUCUGAAUGUGAUGCCUG
rnacentral:lncRNA from 1 species